rnacentral:rRNA from 1 species
AGAGUUUGAUCCUGGCUCAGGACGAACGUUGGCGGCGUGCCUAAUACAUGCAAGUCGAGCGCGGGAAGCGAGCUGAUCCCUUCGGGGUGACGCUCGUGGAACGAGCGGCGGACGGGUGAGUAACACGUGGGCAACCUGCCUGUAAGAUCGGGAUAACUCCGGGAAACCGGGGCUAAUACCGGGUAACACUUUCUUUCACAUGAAGGAAAUUUGAAAGAUGGCUUCUCGCUAUCACUUACAGAUGGGCCCGCGGCGCAUUACCUAGUUGGUGAGGUAACGGCUCACCAAGGCGACGAUGCGUAGCCGACCUGAAAGGGUGAUCGGCCACACUGGGACUGAGACACGGCCCAGACUCCUACGGGAGGCAGCAGUAGGGAAUCUUCCGCAAUGGACGAAAGUCUGACGGAGCAACGCCGCGUGAACGAUGAAUGUCUUCGGAUCGUAAAGUUCUGUUGUUAGGGAAGAACAGGUACCGUGCGAAUAGAGCGGUACCUUGACGGUACCUAACGAGGAAGCCCCGGCUAACUACGUGCCAGCAGCCGCGGUAAUACGUAUGGGGCAAGCGUUGUCCGGAAUUAUUGGGCGUAAAGCGCGCGCAGGCGGUUCCUUAAGUCUGAUGUGAAAGCCCACGGCUCAACCGUGGAGGGUCAUUGGAAACUGGGGAACUUGAUGACAGAAUAGGAGAGUGGAAUUCACGUGUAGCGGUGAAAUGCGUAGAUAUGUGGAGGAACACCAGUGGCGAAUGCGACUCUCUGGUCUGUU